rnacentral:lncRNA from 1 species
CUAACUGGUCAAACAACCAAACUCACGUGCCCUCGGCACAAUCUGAUGCAAAAAGAGCAAUUUGGGUCCACCGUCAACUUCAACAGCAUCCGACAGUCCGGAACAGCCUAAACACUGCUGUAAAAAAAUAAGCUCGGCAUCCCAGCACGAGCGUAAAUACAUUCUACAUUAUCCUGGGUAUCCACCGCCCACAAACUGCGGUGAUACAAACAAACUGUGGCUCCUAGAGCUAAAUCUGGUAGUUUUAACAUAUAACAGUAUAGAAGCGUUAGUUUUCUCCUAAGUCAAAUCCAAAUCCAACAUAUAUAAUUUAGCUAACAUCCUGAACUUCAAUUCAGAUUUCAAAUCAUGCAUAUCAUAGAAUUAAGCAAAUUUCAUUCAAUUCCAAU